AAAAUGCAUUUUGUCUUUCUGCAGACUUCUUGUGGACUUCUUGUUUCCUGUCUUGACAGUGUGUUGACUUCGACUUCUUGUUGAUCAAGUCAACAGGAAUUGCUGUUGACAUCAUGUUGACAGUCUUUUGAAAUACCUUAUGUGUACCUUGUGUGGACAAUGUACAUAGGUGUCGUUGUUGACGCUUUGUGGACUUUCUGUGCACCUGUGUAACGAGUAUUUAUUUCGACCGUUUUAUUUUAUAGAUGUAUUUUGUAUUAUUAAUUACUGCAUUAUCGGCCAGUAAUGUCCCAGAGGUCGACCUCUGGGGGUACCGAGCAUUUCCUAACGGGGUGGGGGGUGGUGGUAUAUAUGUAUAGAGGCAUAUUUGUGAAUCUAUUCAUUGGGAGACAGGCUGUAUGGGUAAUAUUAGCAAUUUCAGGGUGAGUUCAAAAAAAAAAAAAAAAAACGUCCCGGGAGGUAGACAGAUCAGUGUUACCGUCUUUCCACUAAACAAAGCGGUAUUUGAAUCUGAACUUAUGAUCAAAUGUAGCUUAAAUGACACUUUGCCACAUUUUAGCUGCACACUAAAGCUCUAAAUACAUUUUCGUUGGCUUUGGGAAGGCGCUUCCUCGUAUUAUUUAUAUUUCAGUUUAUUAUGCAAUAUAUUUCCAACUUAUACGACCACAUGAGGAUCAUGCGCAUGCGACAAGUUUGCUCCACAUUUUGACUCUGCGCCGCCGUGCUUCACCCUCGCCCCUCGCCUGGUCACGAAGGAGUCAUCGCCAUUAGCAUCAUCGGAAUGUCGUUGGAACCGUUGCAAGACGUUUGAACGGUCUUCGCGCUCGCUCGUCCAUUUGUGAACAAAGGAGGCCGUGAUUUUGCGUCGUAUGGGGUAAGCUGUGUGAUCGAAGUGUGUGAUUAAGCUUCACUUGUAUUCACACCAUGACUGUUGGCUUUUGUUGUUUGUUUGGAGCAGCGGCUGCAGUGUUGCGUCCCGUCAGGCCAUGAAAGAAGGAAGGAGGAUAUGAUUUUGCGUCGGGUAAUGGGUAAGCUGUGUGAUCGGAGUGUGUGAUUAAGCUUCGCAUGUAUUCACACCAUGACUGUUGUGCUGUAGGUUUUUGUUGUUUGUUCGGAGCAGCGGCUGCAGUGUUGCGUCCCGUCAGGCUCUACUUUGUUGAACACUAAGCUGGGUGAACCAACUUUGUUGUUGCUAUGACCGUAUUACUCAGUUUUACUCACUUGUGUUUGAACGUUACUAAUUUGCGAUUGCACGCCCUAUUUCAGACACAUAUCUCUCCAGCGCUUCAGAGACGUCGCUGGCGCCGAAAUUCUAGCUGUUUCACCGUGGGUCGCCAGAAGAACAGCAGAUCAUUGACUGUCAAUUGUGCGACGCGACACUAUGUGGCACGAAGGAUGUGUACGUGUGAAAUGCGUAACUACUGUGUGCGCGGGAUGUUUUGUAUGAUUGUGUUGACACUGGAUACCACUUUCAAGGUAUGCAUUUUCGGAAUAAAGUAGAUACAUAUAUAAUUUUGCAGUA